GUUUUCGUCUAUAUUUAAUGCUUUAUGCAUGCGUCUAAAGAUUCGAUGUGACGGGGAAUGUGAAAAAUUUUGCAAAUUUUUUUGAACUAAACGAGGCCUAAAUCGUGGUUGGCAAGCCAAUGCAGCAGGUCGCCUCCUUGACCCAUCAUCUUCCGCACUUCUGUGCAGCAGGAGCAGCUGAUCGUCACGCGCCCCGACGACUGGCACCUCCAUCUUCUCGAUGGCGGUGUCCUCGAGUGUCAGCACUCCUCAUCCAGGCGAGCCCAAGGAAGCAUCCAGGCCCAAGAGGAAGGGAACCAAGAGUAUAAAGCUUAGUGGGCCGGAAUGGGUUUGCGACGCUUGCGAAGGCCUGCGUGGCUAAGAUAUAUGGAGGAAUCGUUCACUUGUAAGCAUCAUCGAAGAAACUAGAACAGAACUUUCAAUUUCUUUUUGCCCGCCGAGCAUUCUGCUGGCGGCCAACUACUACGUUACUGUACAUCUACUUCUUCUUCGUUGAUUCGAUCUGUGAGUUCGCAUCCUCUGUUUGUCUCCGGCGAGCAGGAGGCUGACAUCGAGGCCGUGCUGCCCCACAGUACGAGGCAUUUCGGGAGGGCCACCAUCAUGCCCAACCUGAAGCCGCCGGUGACCACAACGGCACGGGCGAUGGAGUACAGGGAGGAGAUGAUGAGGGCGCUGCCACCAGGGAGUAGCUUCCUGCCGCUCAUGACACUGUACCUCACGGACAACACUAGCCCAGAGGAGAUAAAAGCGCGCAAGAGAGAGUGGUGUAGUCUUUGCUGCGAAGCUGUAUCCCGCCGGAGCAACUACCAAUUCCCAGGAUGGUGUGCCCGGAAGUGCUUGCCUGUCCUGGAGGAGAUGGUCAGGCAGCAAAUGCCUUUGCUUGUUCAUGGAGAAGUCACAGAUCCACAUGUUGACAUCUUUGACCAUGAGAAGGUUUUCAUUGAUAGAAUAUUCGCACCACUUGUACAAAAACUUCUACCGCUGAAAAUUGUUAUGCAACACAUUACAGCUAUCGAUGCAGUGUUCAUAGAAUCAUGUGAACAAGGUCAUGUUGUUGCAACAGUGACUCCCCAGCAUCUCCUACUCAAUAGGAACGCUUUAUGUCAGGGUGGCUUGCAGCCACACAAUUACUGCUUGCCAUUACUGAAACGAGAGAUUCAUAAGUAUGUUGGAUUCACCCUCUAAGAAUGCUACUGCUUGUUAUAAAUGCACAAUGAAAAUGAUAUUAUUUCCUUUCUAAAAAAUACUAGAUAUUUCUUCAGCAAUUAGCCAAUUAAGAAACCACUUUUAAACUUGCAUGAUGAAUCCAUGACAAUCAUUUAGUUCAAAAUGUGACCAAAUAUUCCUUCAGCGACAUAUCACUAGAUGCAUAACAAUAUUCUUGUCUCGUAUUUUUCUUUAACCUCAUUAAGAUUGGGCUAUUGCCCAUAUUUCAAUCAAUUGUCAUGUUGAAACUUUUUGUUCUGUAAUUUUUUGAACUGUUUCUGAACCUUCAACCUAGGACAAGGUAUUGAGCUUAUCUUUCAACGGUGUUUUUCUCUCACAACAAAUCAGCGAAUACUACUUUCAGCCAUGACUUUCUUGGUACUGACAGCCCUCCCCAUGAUAAACGGAACAAUGAAUGUCCCUGUGAAUAUGCAGGAAUAUAUAGCGCUUCUGUUGCCUUGUCUCUUUACGCGAAGAUAUUUGAAGAGGCUGGAGGUCUUGAUAACCUAGAUGCUUUUACAAGCUUCAAUGGCCCUGAUUUUUAUGGUCUCCCAAGGAACACUUCUAAGAUCGUCUUGAGAAAGAGUGGCUGGAAAGUUCCCGCAACACAGUUCAGGGGAGAUUGGGCCUAUGUUUGCUGGCAGCACCCUUGAAUGGCGGUCCAUCUGAUGAUGAGCCUAAAGAAUAAUAAAGGUAUGCAUUAUUGGACGCUGCACUUGAGGGGAUAAAUAAGUGGAGUUUUUCCAGUUCUUUUUCCUUUUCUGUUAGAAUCAGCAUAGCAAAUUGUUCAGCCAUACUGGACGGUUCUUGAAGGCAAAGUUAGUGGGAGUAACUUGUUGAAAGCGACGACGUGUGAUUCGCGCAUUCGAGUUCUUUUAUCCCUUUUGGAUUGCAGCACAAUUUCAGAAACAGCUAUAGACCGCUGUAUAUCAAGGUGUGCUUUACUGAUCUAGACACUAGAACUAGACUAGAGCAAACAUAAUGAAUACGUAAAUUUUAGCACUGCAGUUGUAUAUCAA